UUACGGGAGGCAGCAGUGAGGAAUAUUGGACAAUGGGCGCAAGCCUGAUCCAGCCAUGCCGCGUGCAGGAAGACGGUCCUAUGGAUUGUAAACUGCUUUUAUACGGGAAGAAACACUCCUACGUGUAGGAAUUUGACGGUACCGUAAGAAUAAGGAUCGGCUAACUCCGUGCCAGCAGCCGCGGUAAUACGGAGGAUCCAAGCGUUAUCCGGAAUCAUUGGGUUUAAAGGGUCCGUAGGCGGUUUAAUAAGUCAGUGGUGAAAGCCCAUCGCUUAACGAUGGAACGGCCAUUGAUACUGUUAGACUUGAAUUAUUGGGAAGUAACUAGAAUAUGUAGUGUAGCGGUGAAAUGCUUAGAUAUUACAUGGAAUACCAAUUGCGAAGGCAGGUUACUACCAAUGGAUUGACGCUGAUGGACGAAAGCGUGGGGAGCGAACAGGAUUAGAUACCCCGGU
rnacentral:rRNA from 1 species